GAUGAACGCUGCCAGAAUGCUUAACACAUGCAAGUCUUUGGCGAAUCUGUGCUUGCACCGGCUAGCCAAGGCGGACGGGUGAGUAACGCGUAAAGAACUUGCCCUGCAGACAGGGAUAACAGACGGAAACGACUGAUAACACCUGAUACAGUUGCCGGCACGCAUGUGCCUGGCAAUGAAAAGAGAUGCUGCAGGAGAGCUUUGCGUCCUAUUAGCUUGUUGGUGAGGUGACGGCUCACCAAGGCGAUGAUAGGUAGCCGGCCUGAGAGGGUGAACGGCCACAAGGGGACUGAGAUACGGCCCUUACUCCUACGGGAGGCAGCAGUGGGGAAUAUUGGACAAUGGGGGCAACCCUGAUCCAGCAAUUCUGUGUGCACGAAGAAGGUUUUCGGAUUGUAAAGUGCUUUCAGCAGGGAAGAAGAAAGUGACGGUACCUGCAGAAGAAGCGACGGCUAAAUACGUG
rnacentral:rRNA from 1 species